rfam:Capsicum annuum cultivar Zunla-1 chromosome 4, whole genome shotgun sequence
ACCUCAUGAUUUGGGCAUUGCAUUAACUUAUCAUUAAAACAUUUCCACACCUCAUACAGUGGUUUGCCACUAAGUUGACAAAAGUUGGUGAUUUCUUCCCUUAGUU